rnacentral:rRNA from 1 species
CCCUUAGAUGUCCUGGGCCGCACGCGCGCUACACUGAGUGUCUGAGAUACGAGUCUGCCUGGUCCGGCAAGGUCUAGGUAAUCGCUAAAAGACACAUCAUGCUUGGGAUAGAUUAUUGCAAAUAUUAAUCUUGAACGAGGAGUUCCUAGUAAGCGCAAGUCAACAGCUUGCGUUGAUUACGUCCCUACCCUUUGUACACACCGCCCGUCGCUACUACUGAUUGGAUGUUUAAGCGAGGUUCUCGAACUGCUAGCGACUUAGCUUCGGUGAGGUCGCAGUGUGGGAAGUGAACCUAGCUUUGGUGUCUAGAGGAAGUAAAAGUCGUAACA